rnacentral:rRNA from 1 species
AGCAGUCGCCGCGGUAAUACGAAGGGUGCAAGCGUUAAUCGGAAUUACUGGGCGUAAAGCGUGCGUAGGCGGUUUGUUAAGUCUGCUGUGAAAUCCCCGGGCUCAACCUGGGAAUGGCAGUGGAUACUGGCAAGCUAGAGUGUGUCAGAGGAUGGUGGAAUUCCCGGUGUAGCGGUGAAAUGCGUAGAGAUCGGGAGGAACAUCAGUGGCGAAGGCGGCCAUCUGGGACAACACUGACGCUGAGGCACGAAAGCGUGGGGAGCAGACAGGAUUAGAUACCCCCGUAGUCCCUGUCUCUUAUGC